ensembl:snRNA U6 U6 spliceosomal RNA
GCUUUCUUCAGCAGGACACAUAGUAAAAUUGGAAUGAUGCAGAAAAGAUUAGCAUGACCCCUGUGCAAGGGUGACUGCAAACUUGUGAAGCAUUAAUUUUUUUU